AAUAGCCACCACAAAUCACCUAUAUAUGUGUAUGAUGAGAUUUCUCAUAAGUUCGUGUAUGAUGUCAAUACAAAACAGUGGAAGAGAAACACUGUUCCAAUUGGUCAGACUCAUAAUGUGAAGAAGUUGUUUCAAUAUUUAAUCAAAGGAGACAGAAUCACAAGUGGAAGAAAGAGGAUCAAAAUAGGUCA